GCCUCAGUAACGGCGAGUGAAGCGGCAACAGCUCAAAUUUGAAAUCUGGCCCUCUCGGGGUCCGAGUUGUAAUUUGUAGAGGGUGCUUCGGGCGCGAUGCCGGUCUAAGUUCCUUGGAACAGGACGUCGUAGAGGGUGAGAAUCCCGUAUGCGACCGGCGAUCAAGCCCGUGCGAAGCCCCUUCGACGAGUCGAGUUGUUUGGGAAUGCAGCUCAAAAUGGGUGGUAAAUUUCAUCUAAAGCUAAAUACCGGCCAGAGACCGAUAGCGGACAAGUAGAGUGAUCGAAAGAUGAAAAGCACUUUGGAAAGAGAGUCAAACAGUACGUGAAAUUGUUGAAAGGGAAGCGCUUGCAAUCAGACCGGUCCGGAGGCGAUCAGCCGCUGCUCGUCAGCGGUGCACUCGCCUGCGAUCCGGCCAGCAUCGGUUUGGGCGGCGGGAUAAAAGUCCCGGGAAUGUAGCUUCUCCCGGGGAGUCUUAUAGCCCGGGUCGCAAUGCCGCCCGCCCGGACCGAGGACCGCGCUUCGGCUAGGAUGCUGGCGUAAUGGUUGCAAGCGACCCGUCUUGAAACACGGACCAAGGAGUCUAACAUCCAUGCGAGUGUUUGGGUGUCAAACCCAGGCGCGGAAUGAAAGUGAACGGAGGUGGGAACCCGUCAGACGGCGCACCAUCGACCGAUCCAGAUGUCUUCGGAUGGAUUUGAGUAUGAGCAUGGCUGUUGGGACCCGAAAGAUGGUGAACUAUGCCUGGAUAGGGUGAAGCCAGAGGAAACUCUGGUGGAGGCUCGCAGCGGUUCUGACGUGCAAAUCGAUCGUCAAAUCUAGGCAUAGGGGCGAAAGACCAAUCGAACCAUCUAGUAGCUGGUUCCUGUCGAAGUUUCCCUCAGGAUAGCAGUAACGUUUUCAGUUUUAUGAGGUAAAGCGAAUGAUUAGAGGCCUUGGGGCUGAAACAGCCUUAACCUAUUCUCAAACUUUAAAUAUGUAAGAAGUCCUUGUUACUUAGUUGAACGUGG
rnacentral:rRNA from 1 species